AUAAAUAGAAAGUGAAAGUAGGCUAAAUGUUCAGGUGUUUCGCCAUAUAUGAAUCGAGGAAAUGAUUACGGUGGAGUAUUCAUGUGUUUAAUGGGACCUUUAUAAUUAAUUUACCUGUAGCUACAUGACAAGAAAGUUGGAGGAUUUGUGUGGAACUGUAUGUAAUUAAAUAUUGGUCAAGGUGAGUGCAGGUUUAGUUACGUUUUACAGGUGACUUCCGCAUUUAUAUAUUUUCCCUGAAAGACGUAUUCGGGACGUGUUUCGCGUUGUCUGUGGUGUAUUUUAGCAUUUGUGCAAACAUAGAUCUGACAUUUGAAUUUGAGUGAACGCGCGUCUCAUGAUUCUGUUUCUCCGACUCUCAGGAUCGGCUUAAGAUCAGUUUAACGUUAACGACGCCCGCAUCUCUAAAGUGAAAGAGUUGAUGUUUCGCCAUUUAAACAAUUAGAAUCGUUUCUUUACAGUACGUAUUAUCAGAGUAUUUAAUUAGAUUCAUUAAUUUACCUGCUAGGCCUACUUAUAGAAGUGGCAGAGCACGCUGUCUAUAUGUAAUUAAAAAUCUGUGAGCAGGCAACUCAGGACUCGAGACACUUUACAGCUGACUUCUAUAAACGACAAAAAUAGGAUCUCAGGAACAUGAGACGUGACACUUCUGUUUCUCCGUUCAUCUGUAUUUUUGUGUUUGUGUCAUUUUAAUCCAGAGUCUGUGACGAAGGUAAGGUCCUUUUUCAUCAUGGAUGACAUACAAACAUCCAGAAAUGAAGAUUUUUCUCCAGGAUGCAGGUACUUUGAAUAAACAUUAUUUAAUCGCCUUUAAAUUAAUGAAGAUGGCAAGAAGAUUAAUGAUAAGAGUUUUAAGGCCUUACAAUAAAAUAAUUGUUUUUGUUUUUUUAAAGCAUUACGUUUUCUGUUAUAGUUUAGUCCAUCAGAAGAGAUCAGAACCAGAGCCCAGCUGUGUGUCUGUGAGGAGUGACAGGUCUAUGGAUUAUCCAGUACAUUUUGAGAGUGGAGAUGCACAGACUGAUCCGGGUUUAGUCCAUCAGAAGAGAUCAGAACCAGAGCCCAGCUAUGUGUCUGUGAGGAGUGACAGGUCUAUGGAUUAUCCAGUACAUUUUGAGAGUGGAGAUGCACAGACUGACCCGGGUUUAGUCCAUCAGAAGAGAUCAGAGCCAGAGCCCAGCUGUGUGUCUACGAGGAGUGAGGAGUCAAAAAGUCUUCCACUACAUUAUAAGAGUGGAGAUAAACAGACUGAUCUCAGGUAUAACAUUUCUGUAAAACAUAUGUUUUGAUGAUUUUAUAGAAUACAAAAAAUAUAUAAUAAUAAUAAUAAUAAUAAUAAUAAUAAUAAAACCUAUUCUUAUUAACUUAUGUAAAGAUUU
ensembl:lncRNA